UGGGGAAUUUUGGACAAUGGGCGAAAGCCUGAUCCAGCAAUGCCGCGUGUGCGAAGAAGGCCUUCGGGUUGUAAAGCACUUUUGUCCGGAAAGAAAUCCUUGGCUCUAAUACAGUCGGGGGAUGACGGUACCGGAAGAAUAAGCACCGGCUAACUACGUGCCAGCAGCCGCGGUAAUACGUAGGGUGCAAGCGUUAAUCGGAAUUACUGGGCGUAAAGCGUGCGCAGGCGGUUUGCUAAGACCGAUGUGAAAUCCCCGGGCUCAACCUGGGAACUGCAUUGGUGACUGGCAGGCUAGAGUAUGGCAGAGGGGGGUAGAAUUCCACGUGUAGCAGUGAAAUGCGUAGAGAUGUGGAGGAAUACCGAUGGCGAAGGCAGCCCCCUGGGCCAAUACUGACGCUCAUGCACGAAAGCGUGGGGAGCAAACAGGAUUAGAUACCCUGGUAGUCCACGCCCUAAACGAUGUCAACUAGUUGUUGGGGACUUCAUUUCCUUAGUAACGUAGCUAACGCGUGAAGUUGACCGCCUGGGGAGUACGGUCGCAAGAUUAAAACUCAAAGGAAUUGACGGGGUCAUAGCUGUUUCCU
rnacentral:rRNA from 1 species